rnacentral:tRNA from 1 species
GGCUAGAUGGCCGAGUGGUUAUGGCGUGUGACUCAAGUUCUCAUGGGGCAACCCGCGGGGGUUCGAAUCCCCCUCUAGUCA